AUCCUUCUGGUUCGUAUACAGUGAUGAUUGGUCUGAUCACGCGUGUGUGUGACAUGUGCAGCCGCUGUUACGACUGAGCACAUCGACCUUCUGAUC